rnacentral:lncRNA from 1 species
UUUUUUUCUGAGCCCCACCGCGAAAGAAAGAAAUAAAAAUAAUAUAACCGACGGUCUCUAGAGCAAAUAACAAAUAGUUUGAUGGUUGGUGCCCGAAAUUCAAAUUCAAAUCCUAAUUGAUUCAUAUUUCCAGCUAAAUUUAUUACUAAAUAAAAUAAACAAAACGGGUAGCGUGCUAUCUAUAUUUUAAAAAAAUAAAAUAAAAAUAAUAAAAAAUAAAAUAAAGAGGGUCACUGUAGUAGAUACACCGCACCAAUCGUGUGUUUGGGUCCCACCAAAUUGGCGAAAUGGUUGGUGAAAGUUGUUCGCGUUUGACCGAGUCCGAACUAUGCAUGUAUUAUAUAUUCUAAGCACAAGGGUGGGGGGCAAAUGGGAAUGGGUGCGAUCCCUCCAUUGACAAAUGAGUUCACCUACUUUUAUUUCGCUGUGUGCGUGGUGGGGCCCUUACGAUGGGGGUUGGUUGAACUACUAUUAUUAAAAAACAAAAAAAAAGAAGUUGGUGCCUAUUCCAUUUCCCCCCGGUCCUUUUUUUUUUUUUNGUUCCGGGUCGCCGAGGAGGACAACGAGCGCUUUCUCAAGAAGCUGCGGCAUCGGAUCGAUCGGUGAGUUUCAUAAUCAUUACUAUUAUUAUUAUUAGUAUUACUAUUUGUUGAUUUCAUCGGAUGGGAAUUAUUUUGGUUAUUGAUGAGUGUUUUGAUCUCGAAAAGCGCUUUUGCUUUUACCUUUGCAUGAAUGAACAAUAUCCUUCCAAAUCGGUAGUGUUUACGAGUAUCUCGGAAUAAUAUUUAUGAGAUGCUGGUGUAAUAAUAUAUUAUACUAAUACUAAUAAGUUAAUAUAAUAUAAUACAGAAAAAUCUCAUAUAAAAAAAAUUAUUGGUAAAAUUAAAGACUAUACAAAAAUUUGUUGGAAAUGAAGAAACUCUAGAUUGUUGGGUUUGGUAAUGAAUGAGAAAUACUAGAGAUAAAAACUAUAUGACUUGCAUGGAAGCUGCUGCUCAUUUGGCCGAAUUUUCUUGUCACGUCAUAAAUAAUUUUUUUAUUUUUUUAUGGAUUCAUUAUUGUUAUAUGCUGGAUCGUUUUAUUUAAUGAUGUAAAAAACAUGCAUAAUAAAACAUUUAUUUUUCAACCCUGGGGCUGGGGAUUCUUACAAUAACAAUAAAACAAAUUUGUUUUUCUUAUAUUUGUGGGAUCUAGCCGUAUGUGGUGACCAACUAAUAAUUGAAUUUUAAUAUAUUUUUUUAAAAGUUACUUUCUAAUAAUAUCCAAUAUUUUUAUGAAAAAAAUAAAUAAUAAUUAUUUUUUCUGCUAGGUAAUCAUUAAAAAACAAAAGUUUUCCUGGGCGGCUGCGGCCUUUCUUAACUUCCGGUAGUUGGUAUAAUGUCGUAAUUUAUUUUUUUUUGUGGGUAAAAAAAAAAAAAACCUCUUUUACUCUUAGAAAAAAAAAAGCCCUUAAAAAUGAGGUUAAAUUAUAGAAAAUUUUUCUGUCAAAAUUUAAUUUUUUAUUUUUUUUUUCAUCAUUUAAAAAUCUACGCUUUGCCCCAUUGUAAAAUAAAAAAUGCUUACUCACCUCCUACCGUUAGUGAUCCGUCAGGAUUUCGUUUAUAAAAUAUUAUUAUUAUUUUUUUAUACAAAAAAUGCCCUUAGUCUUCUCUUUUGUUGUCAGAAAUGGUGAGAAACAAAAUAGUUAUUUAGCCUAUUUUUAUACCAUACCUCUUGUCACCAAUUUUUAUUUUAUAAAGGUGUAAAGUGUAAGUUUUUAAAUAACAGAAGGGAAAAUAAAAAAUUGAAUUUUAACAUUUGGUUUUAUGUAAUUUAGCCUAAAAAUUACUAAUGUUUUGGUUGGAUGGUUCAAUUCAUCCUGGCAUCUUUUAAGUGUUAAGAAACGUCCCACUCAGUUGCUAAAUAUAUUUAUUUAAAGCACACCUUGAACAACCCCAUAAGUUUGUACAUAAACUCGUCGCAUGCACACUUAAUUGUGUCGUAAGCUUGGGUUAAGGGUGGGUUGUUGGCUUGCUUCAAGAUGUCGUCCACCGUCCUAUUAUCUACACGAGAAAAAGUAUUACCAAGCUGAGCUAUUCCUAACUUUUCAAUUGAUUAUUGCUUACUUAGCAACAACAUGCAUACUUUUCUAUUUUGGUGAGAGUGUAUGGACACCCCUUUAGCUUUUGAUUAUUUUUUUUUUAAAUAAGUGAUUUUUGGUCGAUAACUGGUUUUUUCUCAAUUCUAAUACUAUUUUAUAAAAUUUAACAGUUUAAUUUUAUUUUUUAGCAAAUAAAAUUAUAGGUUUAACUAAUAGAGAAGUUGAAUUUAAUAACUUUUUAAAUUUAACUAGCUAAUGUAAUUUAAAUGGAAAAAGAUUAAAAUUUAAGAGAGGAUUAAUUAAGUAAAUGAAGCUGAACGAUCUAUUUCAAAAACUCCUAUAUUUGAAGGAUUCUCAAUAUAUAUAUAUUUUUUUUGAGAAAAAAAAAGUAUGAUAUCUGCUACAUUCAUUAAAAGUAUGAAUUAAGCAACAAUGGUGAGGUAAUUAACCUCUGUCAAAACGAAAAUAAACAAAAAAGUGACAGAGUCAGGUUUCAACUUUCGGCUUUAUAGUUCAAAAUAACAAUUUUCUGAUUGAAAUGAAAUAAGAUUUGAAAAAAAAAUGUCGGAUAGAAAAAUCCGCUCUGAUACCAUAUGAAAGUUGAAAUAAAAUUUGCUUUCAAAGAAGCCCUUAAAAAAGAAAAAGAAAAAGAUGAUGGUUAGACUAGAGAAAUUUCUCCCGCCGAAACACUGAUCGCUUGAUCUUGUCAAUAUUAUUCUUAGUAUAUUGUUAAUCUUUCAUGUUCUUCAAUAUAGACUAGGUUUACCCACUGUCUCUAGAGUAAGGGGCAAAGGACUUGUGGUUGAUAUUCGAGAUUUCAAGUUCGAAUCAUAAUUGAUUUAUAUUUUCAGUUAAAUUUAUUUCUAAAUGAAAUAAAUGAAACGGAUAACGUGUUUCCUAUCUCUCUCUCUCUCUCCCAAACAAAAAAACAAAUAAUAGUAGACUAGGCUUAUUUGUGUUGACCGUAGAAAACACAACUUGACACUUUUUUAUACUGCAGGGUUGGUAUACAACUCCCAACUGUGGAGGUGAGGUUCGAGCAUCUAACAAUAGAAGCCAAGUGCCACGUCGGCAACAGGGCUCUGCCCACGCUGCUCAACACGGCUCGCAACAUUGCCGAGUCAGCGGUUGGCCUCUUGGGCAUAAGGCUCACGAAGAUGACCACUCUUACCAUACUCAAAGAUGUCUCCGGAAUCGUACGACCCUCUAGGUACGACGUUUAUAAUAAUAAUCAAACUUAAAAAGCAUGGUUGAUCCUCAAAACCCUUGAUAAUUUACAAUUUCGUUGGCAAUUUGAUUUCAUCCUAAACUCACGUAAUUUCUCGCAAUGCCGCCAUUUCCCGCCACCAUUUCUAAUAGAGGUGCAUCAUAUACAAUUGUUUUUCCUUAUAAAUAAAAAUUCAAUUUGCAAUUUAUAAAAGUUUGAGAAUUAUCGUGUAUUCUGUUGUAAGAUGUUUUAUAUAUAUAUACACAUUUUGUGUAUGAUGUAUUCUUUUUGGUUGGUUGUAUUAUUAGGAUGACAUUGUUGCUGGGCCCUCCGUCAUCGGGGAAGACCACUCUUUUACUAGCCUUAGCUGGGAAGCUGGACCCAACACUGAAGGUUUAGUUGACUCGCUCUGAUUAGAUUUAUUUAAAGUAAUUGGACAUACACAGUUGGAGCGCAAAGAGCGUGAACUGUGUGAAGUGUGAACCACUCCUUUUCCUUUUUUGAAAAUUUUAUGUUAUUUUAUUUUAUUUUUUUAAAAUAAAAUGUUUACUAUUAGGCACGGGGAGAGAUAACGUACAACGGGUACGCACUCGACGAGUUCGUGCCCCAGAAAACGGCGGCCUACAUUAGCCAAACUGACGUCCACAUGGCCGAGAUGACCGUUAAAGAAACCCUCGAUUUCUCCGCUCGGUGCCAGGGCGUGGGAUCCAAAUACGGUAAUUAAUUUUUCACAAUUCUAAUGUUCAAAAUUUAAUUAAUUAGUUUCACUAAUUUUAACCGAUUAAUUUCGGUGUAGACCUUCUAACGGAGUUAGCCAGGAGGGAGAAAGAGGCUGGGAUUCUUCCAGAACCUGAAGUCGAUCUCUUUAUGAAGGUAAAAUAUGCUGCGGACUAAAUUAAUGACUAAUGCGAGCUUAAUUAGGCCUAAUUUUAAAUCUAAAAAUGUUGUUCGGGAAAGUGCUAAGCAGUUGUUUUUUUUUCUUUUUUUUUUCUGAAUUUCUUCAAUAAUCUCCUAUAGAUACGAAUUUAAAUUUGUAUUAAAUAUAUUAUUUUCUAUUUUGGAAUUGCAAAGCUCUUUUUAACUUUUAUGCACUGUCAACAAAAAGUUUAGUCUAUUCUCCUGUACUCUCUCUUUUUGGAUAAAGAGAAUGAGAGAAAAGAGAUGCUAUUUGAAUAUCCUAUUUACAUGUUUAAAAAUUUAAUUGAUCAUUCGUAGGGCAAAUGAUAAAAAACUUGAUGGUUGAUAUCUGAGGUGUCAAAUUCGAACCUAAUUGAUUCACAUUUUUAGCUAAUUUUAUUUUUAAAUAAAAUAAACGAAGUGAAUAUCACGUUAUUUAUCUCUUUUAAAAAAAAAUUGAUAAGGCUGUAUAAGCAUAUUCGCUCUUAGAUGAAUAGGAUGUAAAAAUUUGCACAUAUUUUGUAAAUGUACAACUAGCAUUGCUCCUUCAAAGUAAAAAUGAAGGAGUGUUUAUCAUUUCUUUUUUUUUUUAAAGUAUUUCAUCCGAACAAAGAAUAAGUCAAGAAAGUAGGCCAUUUGUACACUAGCAUACUACCUCGUAUCUACUUUGUAAGUCACAUUUGUAACGUUUCUUAAUACAAAACAGGCUACUUCGAUGGAAGGGGUCAAAAGCAGUCUCCAAACGGACUACACGCUCAGGGUACGUUUCCUUUCUUUCUUCUUAUUUUAUUUUUUUCUGAGCUCUCGAAAGAAAAAAUAAAAAUAAUAUAACCGACAGUCACUAGAGCAAAUGACAAAUGAUUUGAUAGUUGGUACCCGAAAUUCAAAUUCAAAUCCUAAUUAAUUCACAUUUCCAGCUAAGUUUAUUACUAAAUAAAAUAAACAAAACGAUUAGCGUGCUAUCUAUAUCUUAAAAAAAUAAAAUAAAAAUAAUAAAAAAUAAAAUAAAGAGGGUCACUGUAGUAGAUACACCGCACCAAUCGUGUGUUUGGGUCCCACCAAAUUGGCGAAAUGGUUGGUGGAAGUUGUUCGCGUUUGACCGAGUCCGAACUACGCAUGUAUUAUAUAUUCUAAGCACAAGGGUGGGGGGCAAAUGGGAAUGGGUGCGAUCCCUCCAUUGACAAAUGAGUUCACCUACUUUUAUUUCGCUGUGUGCGUGGUGGGGCCCUUGCGAUGGGGGUUGGUUGAACUACUAUUAUUAAAAAACAAAAAAA